CCCCAGAUAGCUCAGGUCCGAGCGCACAUUAUUAAGCGAAUGGCGCUCAGACCACACGAAUACAGUUUAAUCGCCAUGGAGCCAAAGUCCUUACAGUCAGUUUCAUAUGAAUGGGCUCCAUGGGAUUCCCAUCUGGGGUAUAACACAUUCAAACAAAUCUACCGAACCCCAGGCAGAAAAGCACGAAUGAAGCUUUUCUGCAGGUAAAAAAAUAAUAUAGGAUAUCAUUACAUGACACCUAUAAGCUUGAGCCUUGGAUUCAAGAUAAAUUCUAUCACAUAUGCUACCAAAGCCAUUUAACAUUUUACUUUACUGUAAGUGAUGUGAACACUGUAUACACUAUAAUUCCUACAAUGUUUUAACAGGGGGCCAUAGUCCAAAGGCAGCAGGCGAGCAACCAGGCUUCUCCAAUGCAAUGUGGCGAGAUUGGUCUCGUCACAAUCAGAAUGUUGAUCUUUGUUAUAUUCAGAGUAAGCCCAAAUUGUUGUUACAAGUGCACUUGGAGAAGCGAGAAUUAGACACCAGACACCUGUUGGUAUUCAAAAGCCUCUGCCGAUUUAUUCAUCAGGUGGGUUUUAUACAUUAUAAAGGAAGUGCUUACGUGCAAAUACUCAUAGAACAGUAAUAGGAAGGGAGUACAGAUAAGACAUAGGGAUGAGCGUCAUGUACACAUAACAAAUAAGUUCCAAGGUAAGAAAGAACAAAAAGAUUAGAGAAGAGACAUCUUAGGUGGGGGCUCUCUGCUCCCGGAACUAGACAUAUAUGGUCUUAAGUGUUGUUUAAGCAUCAAGCAUUUCCUGAGUCCAAGUUAGCCAAUUUUAAUAUAGGAUAUCAUUACAUGACACCUAUAAGCUUGAGCCUUGGAUUCAAGAUAAAUUCUAUCACAUAUGCUACCAAAGCCAUUUAACAUUUUACUUUACUGUAAGUGAUGUGAACACUGUAUACACUAUAAUUCCUACAAUGUUUGAAGUUGUUAUGACUACAGUAGCUCCCCCUGUGUCCUAUCCUCCAAAGUUCUAUAUUUUAAUCAUUUGAUCCAUUGCUUUCAAUUCAGCUAUUUUAUUUGAAUUGUAGACAACUCACAUUUCAGUGAUUAACUUUGUCAACCAGAAUUUGAGUGUUUAUUCCUUUUAUCUAUUGCUUGCGAGUAGACUGAAAAUAAAC